AAAUUGAAGAGUUUGAUCAUGGCUCAGAUUGAACGCUGGCGGCAGGCCUAACACAUGCAAGUCGAGCGGUAGCACAGAGAGCUUGCUCUCGGGUGACGAGCGGCGGACGGGUGAGUAAUGUCUGGGAAACUGCCUGAUGGAGAGGGAUAACUACUGGAAACGGUAGCUAAUACCGCAUAACGUCGCAAGACCAAAGUGGGGGACCUUCGGGCCUCAUGCCAUCAGAUGUGCCCAGAUGGGAUUAGCUAGUAGGUGGGGUAACGGCUCACCUAGGCGACGAUCCCUAGCUGGUCUGAGAGGAUGACCAGCCACACUGGAACUGAGACACGGUCCAGACUCCUACGGGAGGCAGCAGUGGGGAAUAUUGCACAAUGGGCGCAAGCCUGAUGCAGCCAUGCCGCGUGUGUGAAGAAGGCCUUCGGGUUGUAAAGCACUUUCAGCGGGGAGGAAGGCGGUGAGGUUAAUAACCUCAUCGAUUGACGUUACCCGCAGAAGAAGCACCGGCUAACUCCGUGCCAGCAGCCGCGGUAAUACGGAGGGUGCAAGCGUUAAUCGGAAUUACUGGGCGUAAAGCGCACGCAGGCGGUCUGUCAAGUCGGAUGUGAAAUCCCCGGGCUCAACCUGGGAACUGCAUUCGAAACUGGCAGGCUAGAGUCUUGUAGAGGGGGGUAGAAUUCCAGGUGUAGCGGUGAAAUGCGUAGAGAUCUGGAGGAAUACCGGUGGCGAAGGCGGCCCCCUGGACAAAGACUGACGCUCAGGUGCGAAAGCGUGGGGAGCAAACAGGAUUAGAUACCCUGGUAGUCCACGCCGUAAACGAUGUCGAUUUGGAGGUUGUGCCCUUGAGGCGUGGCUUCCGGAGCUAACGCGUUAAAUCGACCGCCUGGGGAGUACGGCCGCAAGGUUAAAACUCAAAUGAAUUGACGGGGGCCCGCACAAGCGGUGGAGCAUGUGGUUUAAUUCGAUGCAACGCGAAGAACCUUACCUGGUCUUGACAUCCACAGAACUUUCCAGAGAUGGAUUGGUGCCUUCGGGAACUGUGAGACAGGUGCUGCAUGGCUGUCGUCAGCUCGUGUUGUGAAAUGUUGGGUUAAGUCCCGCAACGAGCGCAACCCUUAUCCUUUGUUGCCAGCGGUUAGGCCGGGAACUCAAAGGAGACUGCCAGUGAUAAACUGGAGGAAGGUGGGGAUGACGUCAAGUCAUCAUGGCCCUUACGACCAGGGCUACACACGUGCUACAAUGGCAUAUACAAAGAGAAGCGACCUCGCGAGAGCAAGCGGACCUCAUAAAGUAUGUCGUAGUCCGGAUUGGAGUCUGCAACUCGACUCCAUGAAGUCGGAAUCGCUAGUAAUCGUAGAUCAGAAUGCUACGGUGAAUACGUUCCCGGGCCUUGUACACACCGCCCGUCACACCAUGGGAGUGGGUUGCAAAAGAAGUAGGUAGCUUAACCUUCGGGAGGGCGCUUACCACUUUGUGAUUCAUGACUGGGGUGAAGUCGUAACAAGGUAACCGUAGGGGAACCUGCGGUUGGAUCACCUCCUUACCUUAAAGAA
rnacentral:rRNA from 1 species